rnacentral:rRNA from 3 species
UUGACCUCGGAUUAGGUAG